rnacentral:rRNA from 1 species
UACAGAGGGUGCGAGCGUUAAUCGGAAUUACUGGGCGUAAAGCGCGCGUAGGCGGCUUUGCAAGUCGGGUGUGAAAUCCCCAGGCUUAACCUGGGAACUGCAUUCGAGACUGCAUUGCUAGAGUAUGGGAGAGGGAAGUGGAAUUUCCGGUGUAGCGGUGAAAUGCGUAGAUAUCUGGAGGAAUACCGGUGGCGAAGGCGGCAUCCUGGACCAUUACUGACGCUGAGGCGCGAAAGCCAGGGGAGCGAACGGG